GAGUGAAGGGGUCGGCUCCUGUUCUCUGAUUGCCUUUUUUCUCUCUGUAUUUCAGCAGCCUUCGUAAGCCUUCCUCACUCAGUAAAGCCUCCGACAGCCCCUGGGGAGAGAAAACCGUGGCCAUGUCAGGACUUCACUUCCAAGCUUGGGUUAUAAGCAGGACUUGGCUUCCAUCUCAGGUUCUCCCUCUCAUCUCUCCAGAAUCAUUUCACUCUGAGAGAAACCAGCUACUGUGGAAAGGCAGUCCUGUGGACAGGCACACAUGGCAAGGAACUAGGGGCUACCAACAGCCAUGCAUGAAAUCCUGGAAUUGGGUCCUCUUGGAGUUGAACCCUGAGAUGCCUGCAGGCCCUGCCAACAUCUUGACUGCAGCCUUCUAACAGACCCUGUAGCUAAGACACUUCCAGAUUCCUGACCCACAGAAACCCACAGAAAAUAAAUGUUUGUUGUUUGCAGCA